AUGCUCCAGGGUGCAGCCUCCCUAAGGAUCGGAUGCCCUCAUCUGGGAGCUGUUCUGACCUGGGAUGCUCUGAUGUUCGUGGAAUCCAAGUGGGAACUAACAACGGCGCUUGCACACUCAGAGCUCUCCAGUGAUGAAUGGGUCACACAGCACAGAGCUGAUUGCCAUGGAAGGAAGCAACAGGCAGCAAGGGGCAGCAAUGGACACGCACCAGGCUGCAUUGUGGACAAGCUGAGUGACUCUGGCAACUUAACCUCUUCAAGUCUCACUGAAAAUUAAACAAGAUAAUGAAUUUUAAGCAGCCAAGGACAUAACACAGUGUGCACUCAACAAAAGCAAUAUUACUGGGGCUGGAGAGAUGGUUCAGUGGUGAAGGGCACUUGCUGUUAUUGCAGAGGACCUGGGUUCAAUUCUCAGCGUCCAUGUUGGGUGGCUUACAACUACCUGACUGUCAUUCCAGGUGAUCCAAUGCUCCCUUCUGACCUCCAGAGGCAACUUCACUCGUGCUCAUAACCACACACAGACACCUCUAAACAUAGUUAAAAAUAUAUCUUUAGAAGUGACAUUAAAUGUUGGGAACCACCCAACAAGAACGAACAAAACAAGCCAGGAUAAUGGCAUGGGUCUGGAAUACCACCUUUAGGGAGGUAAUGGUAGGAAGAUGGAGAAUUUGAGAUCAGCCUGGUUUACACAGCAAGUUUAAAGAGGUUAAAGCCUGUCUUGGAAACACAGUGAAACCUUGCCUCAAACUAGCCACCCAACUAAUCAACCAGCCAACCAACUACCUGAAGAGAAUGAAUAAAACAAGCCUUAGUCAAUUCAUAUUUGUUCAUGUUCCUCCUCUCUUCCCUUCUCUUCCUGCCUUCAAUAGCAACAUGACAUCAAACAUGGUCCAUGAACUAAACUGUGGGAGUAGACUUCUGGGACUUUGUGAGAAAACUCCAAAUAAACAAGACAAGAGUCUUGUAAUCUCUACUCCUCCAUAACGUGGUUCUUCUUGGAAUGUGCUUUCGAACCCUCCCAGGUAGAGGGCACAGAAGUGAGUUUACUUCAGAUUAUUCAUUACAACUGGCUAUGUGCUUAUAUGCCUCUAAAGAAAAAAAAAAAAAAGCCUGUGUUUGCGACCUGUGGCUUGUCCUUGUGAUUGUACACUUUACUCAGGUGACUCUUCUUAACAUUCAGAGUACAAACUGUCUGAUGCUCUGAAUAAAGUUGGCUAUUGCAUGCGACUUUAGUAAGGCUCAUUUUUAGGCACUACUUCCCUAUGUUCAUAUUGGCAUGUAGAGUGGCAAGAACAUGACAGAAAAAAGUAGAAAUGACAAUGACAGUCCAUGACUUCAGACACCAGGUCAUGGAAAAUACUCUUAUGCUUUUCUUGCUUUUUACAGGUUUUUGUUGUUGUUGUUGUUGUUGUUUUGAGACAGGGUUUCUCUGUGUAGCUUUAUGGACCAGGCAGGCCUCAAACUCACAGAGAUCCGUCUGCCUCUGCCUUCCUAGAGUGCGGGGAUUAAAGAUGUGCACCACCAGUGCCCAGCUUCUUGUUAUUUUUAAAAAGUGUUUAUUUUAGUCUUUAAGUGUGUGUGUGUGUGUGUGUGUGUGUGUGUAGCUAUGUUGUACACGUAAGUAUAGGUACCCACAGAGGUCAGCAGUGUUGGAUCCCCUGGAUCUGGAGUUACAGGUGGUUGUGAGGUAGUUGAUGUGUGUGCAGGGAACUGAACUUGAGUACUUUGCAAGAGAAGCAAUUGAUUCUAACCACUGAGCCUUCACCCCAGUCCAACUUCUUGCUCUUUUAUUCUGGGGUCACUUUCUUUGGGGGAAACCAGAUGAGAUUUUUAUGAAGACACUCAAGUAGCCCUAAAAAGAGGGCCCAUGUGGUGGGAAAGUGAGGUCUCUUGCCCACAGCCACAUGAGCGUUGCCGUCUUAGAAAUUAAUCCUUUGACUACCUUAGCCUGGACUGGAAGCUUCACUGUAGUCUCAUUUGAGCGCCUGUGCCAACGACCCUUUUAAAUUACUCUGGCAUUCCUGACAUUUGAAACUGUGUGAAGGGGCUGGGGAUGCAGCUAAGUUGCAGAGUGCUGUGGCACACACAGGAGGCCUUGGAUUUGAUUCCUAGCACUAGACAAAAAAAAAAAAAAAGUUGAAGUUGCUAUGCAGCAGUAGAUACAAUGUGCUUCUUUUGGCCCAGGUGCUAUGAUUCUUUUCAGUAAGUUCUAGAUAUUAUUUUUCUUAUAGACCCAUGUCUUUUGACUAAGUUACUCUGUCUGAAGUCAGUGACUUGAAAAGACUGCAAGCCAGUGUA
rnacentral:lncRNA from 1 species